GUCUAUGAGUUCAAGCAACAAAUCUUAUGAGAGCUCUGGAAUAUUAAGUCACAUUUCAACCUUUCUUACCCUCUGAGUGUGUGUAAACUACAGGUCAUGAGUUUCUUUUUGAAAUGCAAAAAAUGUUAAAUUAUCAGUUUAUCUUAUUGAUUAUUGACCAUGGGAAGCAGGUAAUUAUCGAACAUCCAUAUUGUGCAUCGCUAACAGCAGUAUAAACAUGAACGACAUGAUAUGACACACACCUUUACAUGUUCAUUUUUCCACUGUAAAAUUUACUGCCAAGCACAUACCGUGCUCUCAGUUCAUUACAUUUUUUAAACUGUCAGAUAUCAGAUGGGUUAGUCCCAAAGUUAUACUUAAAUAUGCCCUGAAAACAAACUUUCUAUGAGCAGUACAGUCCUUACAUAACCACACAAUUUUGUGCAAACGACAUUUUUGUGUUUGUUUGUGCUCUCCGCACUGCUCUGGAAUUGUUAAACUCUAACUUUGAACUGUAUUAAAUCAUGAACAUGCAAUGUUAUAAAUACUUAAAGGUACCUUGUGCAGUCCUUGACUGCAAUUACCACUUUACGAGUGGGUUCCCUGUAAAUGCAUCAUAUGUUUUAUAUUCAAGGAAAUGCAUUUGACACAUUUGUUUGACCUCAAGGAUACACACAUUGUGUCUUGGUGAGAAACACUGCAUGGACACAUUAUGUUUGUUGUUUAAAACCUAACAGGGUACCUUUAAUAAUUAAAAUAAUUAAAAUCAAGCUUUCAGGGUCUUUAAACAUCAUAUUUAUUACAUACGGAUGAACUGAAGACUUGAUGAUUAGAGCACACAUUUAAACUAGGCCUAUUACUACCACAUAUACUGCUAACGUAAUAAUAAUAAUGAUGAAGCCAGUUGCUUUAUUUCUCAUGCCAGCACCAGGUCAGUCUCCGAGAAAUUGUUUAUAUACAACUAAUUUGCAAAAGCAAAUACAUUUAGAAUAUAUAUGAAUUGUGUAAAAUUCAUAUGUAUUAUAAUGCAUAAAGAUUUCAAGGUGUGAAAGCAUAAGGUCCACUUAAAGCCUUUUUUUUGAGUGUAUCAAGGUAACAGUGAACUAACAGUAUUAGUGCUUUAUUGUGCAAUAGGAGCUUGUGUUCAGUCUGUAAAUAACACACAUUAAAAUACAACACACAUACACACACACAUGCAGCAGUAGUACCACAUUCCAGUUUACUCAUUAGUAAUCUUUUAGUCUUCUUGGUCCUCCUCUUCCUCUUACAGACAUGUUUUUUUCCCCUGCAGACACUUGUCUUCUUAUUCUUCUUCUCUUCAUCUCUUUUUCUUUCCUUUGUCCUGCCUUCAUCCUCCAGCCGCCGACCUCAGUGGAACGUUUCAAUCCCCUGUGAUAUUCAGGUUAAUCUGAUUAUGAAGAUUCCCUCUGAGACGCCUCUUCGUCAAUGACGGCCAAGAUGGAGACUCCUUUCUACCAUGACGACUCCUCUGCCGUCCCCGGCUUCAGUCAGAUCGCAGAAUACGAACGUUACCCGGGAAACAAGAUGUUGAUGAGUAAGAAGGCCAUGUCAGUUGCGGGCAGCCAUCACUUUGGUGGCGGCAGUGGCGGUCAAGCUGGGGGGCGGGGUGGAAACCCUAACAACCUGGGGCUCACCAGCAACAGCUCCCUGAUGACAUCAGCGGCACCAUCCGCUGACAUGAACCUGCUGAAGCUGGCGUCCCCCGACCUGGAGCAUCUGAUCAUCCAAUCCAAUCAGGGACUGGUCACUACCAGCCCUGUGUCCAACUCUACCACACCCUUCAUCUACCGCAACCAAGCUACCAAUGAACAAGAAGGAUUUGCCGAUGGCUUUGUCAAAGCGCUUGCAGACCUUCACAAGCAGAACCAGCUGGUGGGAAGUGGUCCCAUGUCCCCGUCCUCAUCCUCUUCUGUCUCCCUGCAGGCUUCCUACCAGAGAAACCUGAUGUCUGGAGGGGACAUGCCCGUUUACACCAACCUCGGCAGCUACAAUCCAGGCCAGAUGGCAUACUCUGGAGCUCAAAUGGCAUACAGUAGCCAUGGCCAUGGCGGGGGUGGAGCCCCUCAGCACCACGCUCGAGGGAUGGACACCCCUCAGACUGUCCCUGAGGUGCCUCACCCACCAGGUGACCCCACGUCCCCACCCUCGCUUUCUCCAAUCGACCUGGAGACGCAGGAGCGAAUCAAAGCAGAGCGCAAGAAGCUCCGCAACCGCAUCGCUGCAUCCAAGUGCCGCAAGCGGAAGCUGGAGCGGAUCUCCCGGCUGGAAGAGAAGGUGAAAGUCCUGAAGAGCCAGAACACAGACCUGGCCUCCACCGCUGCCAUGCUGCGAGAGCAGGUCGCUCAGCUCAAACAAAAGGUCAUGAGUCACGUCACCAAUGGCUGCCAGAUCGCUGUUGGAUCAGCCUCCGCCACCAAGUCUGGAGGAGGAGGAGGAGGCACUGGCAGCGAGGACUCCAGCUGCUGAGGAGGCAGGACACCAGGAGAAUCAGUGUGUGAAAAUAAGCCAAGAGGCUGAAGGUUUACUUUUACAUUUUUGGCAUUACUCUCGCACUCUCAGCCAGAGCAAGCAGAGAGCAAAGUGUCAGCGACACCUAAACAGGACAGCUACAUGUUUAACGGGACUGUUGCAGCCCCUUAAACCACUGUCAGACAUCCUGUGAACUUAGACGAAAGAGAGGAGACUGAAGGAGGGAUAAUUCCCUGAUGUGAGCGAAGUUCAAAUAUGAACUAUUUGAAUUUUGCUGGUUCAUUUUCUGGUUAAAGAGAUGGUGAUUGACUCUGACUUUUAAGAAGCAGGACGUGACGAGACACGAGACACUCUCAUAGGUGUCCGUGUGAGCAGACACAACACAUUCAUCAUUCAGUUUCCAGUGCAAGAAGUUUUGUUAACUUCAACAGUGGAAAUUAUUUUCCACAAAUGUUUGUUUUGCAUUUAUAAGAAAAAAAUUGUUUUUUGCAGCGAUCUUUUACGAUUUGAAACAGGUGGCGAAGAUUGCACAUGAUUACUUUUGGUACAGAGUGAGCUCACUAAUUUUCAUUUUCUUGUCAUAAUUUACAAUAAUCAGUGUCUUCAAAGAGACAGUUUCAUCCCACCUUUUCUGAUCCAGUGAACGCCUCGCCUCGGCUGAUGCUGCCCUUUGUUUAGUAAUUUCACUGCAGUCAUCUCUUUACUUUCUCUCCUAGCAUCUGUGUGCAAACACAGCUAAAGGAGCAUCACGUUAGGAAACGCAUUUUCACUUCGACAGCUCAACAGUAACUGUGAGGGAUUUAUGUAAUCUGAUUACUACAAUCACUUUACGUGUCAAAACUCAGCAGCGGUUGGUAAUAAUCCAGCGACUUCACAUUUUCAAUUGUGUUUAUGUUUCCUGUCUGUUCCUGCUGGAAGUUGAAAACUUUUAUAUGUUUUGACCAGGAAACAGUUUGAACUUCCAUCUUGCUGUUUUUCUGGCUGCUUUUCUCAGUUUCUCUGGAUCUUUCACUAAUCAGGAUUGAAGGAAAUGAUCAAUGAUCUGGUGCACAGAACAUUCCUUAAGGAAGUUGAUUUGGUUUACACAAAAAUGAUCUUAGGGGAAUAUCACAUGUUCCACCUGCUUUGGUAAGAAAACACCUUUAAGACUCAAUUUCUCAUUAAAUUACUUAAUAACUUACUAUUAUUUACUGCUACAAAUCCUAAUGGACUAUGGGGUCCUUGAGAGGUCUGAAGCUUUGUCAGAAGACCUUGAGGAGGUCUCUGAAGCACGCUGAACCAGGAGUGCUGUUGCCGUGAUUACCUGCAGUUUAAUAUACCUUAAGAUCUUAUUUAGAACAUUGUUUUGAACUGUAAUAUGUUUAAAAAAGAUUUUAACAAACAUUUGCCAGCUUAUUGUUUGAUGACUGCACAUUUUGUUUUGAAGUUAUUUGUGUGACUACACCUCAGAUGUAUAAGGUGUAAAAAUGACAGAUUAGGCCUUUAAUAUUCAAGGGAAAAUUUACUAAACAAAACAUAAAGUAAGUGUGUUGUUGUUUAUGCAGUGUUGAUUGAUAUUUUCACAAACAAAUGGUCGCUUUCUUAUUUUGGACUGUUGUGUACCACAGACAUUACUGUCCAGUCAGCACGUCUGUGUCAUGUUAUGGUUGGUAAAUUGCAGCCACCAGAUAGAAAAACAUAUAACUGCAAAAAACAUUUUUCUUGAGGGUGACAAAAAAUAGAAAGAUCUGCUACUUUAAAACCAUCACAUCAAAGUUUUCACAGAACAUUAAUUCUCAAGUAUGAAAUAAAAAAACAAAACAAAGCAUUUCAGUUGCAGUUAUGUGUUUUCUGUUUGACAAAUGAGAGACUUUCAAAAAUACUGUUGAUGAUCAUCGAGCAAAUAUUUAUUUUUUGAACUUGAACAAGGCUUUUGAUGUCUCUAAUGAUUCUAUUUUUGUAUAAUUGUAUAAAAUUGUUGUUAUUGACAUUCCAAAAUGAUGUGCGUGUAUGAGCUGAGUUUGAUUUAAUCAAACACUUCAUGUCUAUUUAUUAUGAAUAUCCUUUGUUCUACAUAUAUGUGUUUAUUUCCCUCACGCUGUUCUGCUGUGUUGAGAUGUUUGAGUCAAUAUAUCAGUGGUGAAAUAUUCAGCUGCUGCUGUUGCUGUUUGUAAAGUGAGAGUUGGACCACAGUCCUAAGUGUGUGUCAGACAUUUCACACCAGAAGAUGAAAGACAAUCAGACAAUCUGUGUUGAAAAUGCCCUGAAUUCAGGUAAAACAGAUGUUGGUUUCAUGUUGAGAAAUUUGGGGAUUAUUGUAGUGACAAAGUACAUCACACACUUCCCCAUCAGGAAGCUUCCUAGUUUUGUUUUUACUGUGUACUGAGACACAAUGUUGAAAUCAUCUUUCUAAAGAAUGUAUGACUGAACAGAAAAACAUUUCAAAAUAAUAACUCGGUUUUCCCUCUAACUGAAUUAUAUUAGUCCACGCAGGUCCUUUAAAUGCCCAGUAGACCAAAACACAGAUUGUGUCAGAAGAAGAAUCUAUUUACGGUGUCCACAGUAACCAUACAACAUGGUAAUACACUUCCUAUGAGUGCUGACAGUUAAGUGAAUCUACUAAAUGGAACAGGAAUAACUCUCUAAACUUUACUUUCUACAUCAUCCUUACAAAACACUGACUAAAGCAUUGCUUUAACUCAACUUAAAACACCACUAAUUUAGAAUUAAGUUUGUUAAAAAGUAUUACGUCUAAAAAAGUAUAUAUUUUUUUAUAUUUUUAUUUUUUGUCAGUAAACAAAUGCAUCAUGUGAGCACAACAGUUUGUAACAACAACUUGUGCGUCUCAGCUUACAUGCGUACAUAUACUGUACACAACUGUAUGUAUUUAUAGCUACAGUAUCUGCUUCCUUUUAAUUGCCACAUGAAUUUAAAUGGAUUUUGAAAUGCUGCAGGAGGAAAAAAAAAUCAAAUUAGAACCAAAAUCAGAAUUCCUUUAUUUAUCCCCGAGGGGAAAUUCUUUAGAUUUAAAUUAGACUUGUUUCCAUCAAUUGGUUUGGAGCAAAUAAACUAGGCUACGCAAAGCUUAGUCAGAUCAGAAGGUGUCGGUGUCGGAGUCAUGCAUGCUGAGUAGACGAUGUAGAGAUUGCGAUCUAGAAACAAAACCAGUUCUUUGUUAACCGCAGAUAAAAAAAAAAGAAGAAAAAGAAGAAACAAAGCCACCAAAGUCACUUUGGCUGUCUAUGAGGGAAGGUUCUUCUCUUGGAGUGGCAUCAGGGGAUCAAUCAAGUGAGUAAAUGUUCACAGCUUAAGAAUCUAUUUGGAAAAGGUGUUUCCAUCUCCCACUAUGAGCAAUAACUCUUUUCAAAAAGGCAAAACCAUCUCAAAUUAACGUAAAACUUUUCCCUUCCCAAUGAAAACUUAAAACUUAUGAAAAUAUAAUUCCACUUAUAAAUGUAUCUCUUUAAGUUCAAGUCACAUUUCCAAACAUGAGCUUUCACUUAAAAAACACUGGCUAAAUGGCUGUUUUCCUAAUGGCUACACUGUAAACUCUUUGUGCCGCCAUUACUUGCACUAUUUGAUUUAAGUUAUUUUGUCAUUAUUCAAAAAAACAUUAAUUCAAUAAGAAGUAAAAGUGGACCAAGAUUACGUCCGCAUAGCACAUUCACCUCGAGAUCUUUAUCAAAAAGCAAGCAACCGUAGUUAGGUCUCCCUCUUCUGGACAGCUGGAGACAUCACCAAUCAAUCAAUGAUGAUAUCUACUAAUAUGUACUUCACUUUUAUUGACAAGAUAUGAAAUUAUUAUUUAGCUCGCUUCUUUCUUUGCUUAAAUAACCUAUUCAUUUUAAGCAAAUAAUGAAUUAGACAUGAUAUUUUAACAUUUUAUCAUUUACCUUUUUAACCCGUAUCAUUUAAACCAGACAUUAACCACCACAUUAAGUUAUUGUUUUACCAUUUCAUCAGGUAGAGGAAAAAAGGGCUUAUUUAUUACCUCUACCUAAAUACUAUUAUAUUCUAUUUUAUAUUUAUAUACUAUUUUAUUAGGAGAUUUCCUGCCUGUUGGCAAACAAAACGCACAGUGAAUUGAGGUUUAAAGGGAACCAAUCUAAACACUGAGGGUGUCAUUAUUCUAUAGCCACUGCACACUGUGCAAUCAACAUUUACUGCAUAAUGACACCUUAAAGCAAAAAACCUUCCAGCAAAAAAUUAUCCAUGUCACGACAUCAACCACAAGAUGAUAAAAUAUGCUGUGUAGUAGAUUCAGGAAAAUGUCAUUUUAGCCAAAGGUGUCGAGGAAUUCCUUUAUUGGAUUGAAUGUUGAUGUUUGAUUGCAAGAUGUUUAGGAAAAUGACUAUCAGAUGGUUGAGUAAGAGUGAAUCUGUUAAUUUGUUUGAAAAUAAGAUUUGAAAUGAUCUUUGAUCUUAGUCUUGUAUAUUAAAAUACAUGAAUACAAUAGUUUGAUAACUGAUAGGGCAAAAGACUGUGAGUUAGCUGAGUUUUACGAGGACUUAUAAAUAUACUUGCAUGCACCAUGUUAGGCCAGAUGAAGCAGUAACAAAGACUGAAGAAACACUAUACCCAAUACAACUUAUUUUCUUAAUUAUACAGUGCUUCUAGAUGCAUCACUGACAUGGAUCAGUGUUGUCUCUCCAUAUUAUCAUUUAUGAUGACUGCAAAGAAUUUAGCAGCUGAAGAUGAAGGAAUGAAGCAUGAAAGAACCAAUUUAGUGUGAUCUGUAAAUGUUAUGGGAGAAAUGUAAUUGGAUACAUUUGGUCAGUCACUCCAAACUGAGAAAACCAUUUCCUUAUGGAGCUACACGCCAUGUGAAACGGAUAAGGGCCUCCUCCAAACUGCUGGCACAAAGUCAGGAGCUCGCUAUUGUCCAAAUUAGGAUGAACAGACUCCGAUUAAAGGAUAUGUACAGGGCUGUCCACAUACUUUUGUCCUUGUAGCUCAUCUGUCCAUUUAUUCUCUGAGGCUUUUACUUGUUUAACUCAUCGAUGACUCAUCAGAUUGAAGUGAUUUCUCUCUCAGUGAAUCAGAGCAGCAGAACAGAAGCAGCUCUUUUAUACUCCUCACUAUGUAUUAAUCACAACAGUACAUAAAUACAUUGCAUAGAGAUUCCACUCACAUAUUCCAUUAUAUUGAUGUGUUGUUACACUAAUUGUUGCUUUAUAUUUCUGGGUUAUUAACUGAUUGAUAGCAGUCAACUUUCUUUUGUUUUUUUUUUCAAGUGAACACAUUAUAUGGAGGUUUUCUACAUAUAUAAACAGCCCUUGUGUGUAUAAACAUGUUGAUUAGCCAUGAGACAGUGAGGUGAAAUAGCAUUUGAUCAGAUGGUGACACACUGAUGAGGUCCACGUGCGUCAGUUUCAGUUAAGAAGGAACUCACACUGAUCAGGGGAUUUUUACAGAAAAUUUCAAUUUCAAACUCCAGUUUGUAGCUAUCCAUAAAUCUAACCAGAUUUAAUGAUAAAUCAUUAAGAUUAGUAGCAAAUACCAAAUCAUUCAAUCUAAACGGAACUCUCAUAAAUUAGACUGAACUGAGACCCAACAGGUGAAAGUUUGGCCUUACCUCUGUUUUGUUGCUGAGGAUGGAGCCAAACUGAAUCACCUAUGUUAAUGAUAGUAUUUAUGGAAAUCCUUCAAUGACAGAUCAGUUAGGCUGUUAUCAAACACACACACAGGUCAGUCGAGAAAAGCUGCGCUCAGAGGAAAACAGGAGCAGUAAGACGUUUCAGUGAAACCUUUAAUCAGACAACACAGACCUCCACAGAGGUUACACUGUUGAACUGCUUUACACCGGGGAAAUAUUUUCACAUGUUUUUGUUCUGUAUUUUCAGUGAUGCAUGAUUAUGAAAUGCCCACUGGGUUAUGGACAUUUAAUUCACCAAAACCUUCUUCUCAAAUGCAAUCUGCUAAUCAGGAACAGCGACUUUAACAAAAGGCAUGCCACGGAUUUAUCAACACAAAAAGGAACUGUGUUUACUUUCUUUUAAUAGUGCAGUUCCUCGCAGCUCUGAAGAGCUUUAUUUUGGUGUUGGUUCACUUUUCAGCAGAAGCAAAGCUCUGACAAACCACUGUACCACUGAUCCGCCCAGCACAAAACAGCAGACAGUCACAGAGAUUUUUCACCAAGAGUUGGUGGAGACCAAAACAGAGAGAGAACAUGAUUCAUGGGGUGGUCAGAAACAACACUCCAAAUGCUAAUGUUGCCGCUGUUUCUUAACAUGUUAUUAGUUUUAUGAGGUAAUAUGUCUGUGUUGGUGAUGAUAUUGUCCCUCUAUGUGCCCAAAAAUCAGUUAAUGCAGGUUUGAGUCAAAUAAAGACAAAUUUCUUAUUAUGUAUGUUACGAAGUCUUUAUUCAUCAGAGAAAUUAAACGUUCAAAUAGUCUGUAUCACUGAACAGCGAAGCAAACACACUGCAUAGUUACUCUCAGUCAGCAGAUCAUUUCAGGAUAUAGCCUUGGAUAUAGUAGCUGGUGGAUUUUGGGAAUCAUGAGUCAUUUAAUGGACCUUUGAUUAGUCUCUGAUAACCCUAUAGACUGCUUCAACAUGCAAAUCAAGGUAAGAUUUUCCACUCGUAAUCACAGCAGGAUGUUUCGUUACAUUUACAUUUACAUUAUUUCACACACCAGUUUAGUC